rnacentral:rRNA from 1 species
UCCACGUUUUCCGCGCCGUAGCUAACGCAUUAAGUGCCCCGCCUGGGGAGUACGGCCGCAAGGCUAAAACUCAAAGGAAUUGACGGGGGCCCGCACAAGCGGCGGAGCAUGCGGAUUAAUUCGAUGCAACGCGAAGAACCUUACCAAGGCUUGACAUGGACCGGACCGCCGCAGAAAUGUGGUUUCCCCUUUGGGGCCGGUUCACAGGUGGUGCAUGGUUGUCGUCAGCUCGUGUCGUGAGAUGUUGGGUUAAGUCCCGCAACGAGCGCAACCCUCGUUCCAUGUUGCCAGCGCG